rnacentral:rRNA from 1 species
AGCAGCCGCGGUAAUUCCAGCUCCAAUAGCGUAUAUUAAAGUUGUUGCAGUUAAAAGCUCGUAGUUGAAUUUCGGGACCAUCAUGUCGGUCGUGCCUCGGUACGUACUGGCAUUGUUGGUUUCUCCCUUCUGACGAACCAUGAUGCCAUUAAUUUGGUGUUGCGGGGAAUUUGGACUGUUACUUUGAAAAAAUUAGAGUGUUUAAAGCAGGCUCACGCUUGAAUACAUUAGCAUGGAAUAAUGAAAUAGGACGUUUGAUUCUAUUUUGUUGGUUUCUAGGAUCGACGUAAUGAUUAAUAGGGAUAGUUGGGGGCGUUAGUAUUCAAUUGUCAGAGGUGAAAUUCUUGGAUUUAUUGAAGACUAACUACUGCGAAAGCAUUUGCCAAGGAUGUUUUCAUUAAUCAAGAACGAAAGUUAGGGGAUCGAAGACGAUCAGAUACCGUCGUAGUCUUAACCAUAAACUAUGCCGACUAGGGAUCGGGCGGUGUUAUUUUGUUGACUCGCUCGGCACCUUACGAGAAACCAAAGUGUUUGGGUU